CAAAAUAUAGUUUAUAAAAAUAUUAAUUUUGGAGAUUAAAGAUAUUAUUAUAAAAAUAGUUAUUUUGA
rnacentral:tRNA from 1 species